GUCUCGUAGGUGACCUGCGGAGGGAUCAUUACUGAGUUAGGGAGCAAUCCCGAACCUCCAACCCUUUGUGAACACAUCUUGUUGCUUCGGGGGCGACCCUGCCGCUUCGGCGGCAUUCCCCCCGGAGGUCAUCAAAACACUGCAUUCUUACGUCGGAGUAUAAAGUUAAUUUAAUAAAACUUUCAACAACGGAUCUCUUGGUUCUGGCAUCGAUGAAGAACGCAGCGAAAUGCGAUAAGUAAUGUGAAUUGCAGAAUUCAGUGAAUCAUCGAAUCUUUGAACGCACAUUGCGCCCCCUGGUAUUCCGGGGGGCAUGCCUGUUCGAGCGUCAUUUCACCACUCAAGCCUCGCUUGGUAUUGGGCGCCGCGAGUCUCUCGCGCGCCUCAAAGUCUCCGGCUAGGCGGUUCGUCUCCCAGCGUUGUGGCAACUAUUCGCAGAGGAGUUCGAGUCGUCGCGGCCGUUAAAUCUUUCAAAGGUUGACCUCGGAUCAGGUAGGGAUACCCGCUGAACUUAAGCAUAUCAAUAAGCGGACGAAAAKAAACCAACAGGGAUUGCCCUAUUAACGGCGAGUGAAGCGGCAACAKCUCAAAUUUGAAAUCUGGCGCAAGCCCGARUUGUAAUUUG
rnacentral:rRNA from 1 species